AUAAUAUCUGUGGAUUAAAGGUGGCUUUCGGGCUGUCGCAGAUGGAUGAGCCUGCGUUGGAUUAGCUAGUUGGUGGGGUAAGGGCCCACCAAGGCUACGAUCCAUAGCUGAUUUGAGAGGAUGAUCAGCCACAUUGGGACUGAGACACGGCCCAAACUCCUACGGGAGGCAGCAGUGGGGAAUAUUGGACAAUGGGGGCAACCCUGAUCCAGCAAUGCCAUGUGUGUGAAGAAGGCCCUAGGGUUGUAAAGCACUUUAGUUGGGGAGGAAAGCCUCAAGGUUAAUAGCCUUGGGGGAGGACGUUACCCAAAGAAUAAGCACCGGCUAACUCCGUGCCAGCAGCCGCGGUAAUACGGGGGGUGCAAGCGUUAAUCGGAAUUACUGGGCGUAAAGGGUCUGUAGGUGGUUUGUUAAGUCAGAUGUGAAAGCCCAGGGCUCAACCUUGGAACUGCAUUUGAUACUGGCAAACUAGAGUACGGUAGAGGAAUGGGGAAUUUCUGGUGUAGCGGUGAAAUGCGUAGAGAUCAGAAGGAACACCAAUGGCGAAGGCAACAUUCUGGACCGAUACUGACACUGAGGGACGAAAGCGUGGGGAUCAAACAGGAUUAGAUACCCUGGUAGUCCACGCUGUAAACGAUGAGUACUAGCUGUUGGAGUCGGUGUAAAGGCUCUAGUGGCGCAGCUAACGCGAUAAGUACUCCGCCUGGGGACUACGGCCGCAAGGCUAAAACUCAAAGGAAUUGACGGGGACCCGCACAAGCGGUGGAGCAUGUGGUUUAAUUCGAUGCAACGCGAAGAACCUUACCUGGUCUUGACAUCCUGCGAACUUUCUAGAGAUAGAUUGGUGCCUUCGGGAACGCAGUGACAGGUGCUGCACGGCUGUCGUCAGCUCGUGUUGUGAAAUGUUGGGUUAAGUCCCGCAACGAGCGCAACCCCUAUUGAUAGUUACCAUCAUUAAGUUGGGUACUCUAUUAAGACUGCCGCUGACAAGGCGGAGGAAGGUGGGGACGACGUCAAGUCAUCAUGGCCCUUACGACCAGGGCUACACACGUGCUACAAUGGGUAUUACAGAGGGCUGCGAAG
rnacentral:rRNA from 1 species